rnacentral:lncRNA from 1 species
CCGAAAUUCGGUCGUUCCGUCUUCUGAAGCGCCGAACAAAGCCGGAGGAGUCGAAGAAUCUUGACGCCUACCUAGAGUUGAAUGCGGAUGUGUUGAUUCCCCGGGCACCCAUUUUCUCAGCGUUCCUCAUCUGGGUCGGUGGCGACUGUUCUCGAGUGAACUCCUAAGGAGUGUGCUCCAAACUUUGGGUUUGCGCCGCAGACUUAUGAUCUCGAAAGGCCAUUUGGUACCGUCGAGUCGAUCGCAUCUCGUUUGUCUCCUCUGUGAUUGUUACCUGUUAAGCCGGAAUUCUUAUGCAACCAAAGGGUGCACGUUAAAGUGCUUGCUUGCUGUCCCCACGGGCCUCUUUUCUGGAACCCUGGUAGAAAGGAAAGUUCAAGUUUUGAUGAUCCGGGACUCUUGUACACAGUUCAGAUCGAGUACUGUCUGGCCGCCGACCGACUCCGCUGUACUUGGCGUUCCAUGGGGAGAGGAAGUUGUGUUGAAGGGGAUCACCCUACCUGCCCCAUAGUCUGUACUGUCGAUACAGUCAGUUUGUGGGUUUUGUUUCCGUUCACGCGUGCUAGACCUUUGCUGUGCCAGGAAGGCAGAAAGAAAAUAAACUUGAGCUUCUGAUCUUAGAGGAUUUUAUCAGUUUUUGAUACCAGGGAGGGCUAUUUUUCCACCACACCUAGUGGGAUUGUUAAGAACUGCGUACAUACGCUAGGAAAAGAGGUCCCAGGGAUAGCAAGAUUCUAAAUCUAAAAAUGUCAAAUGUUAACUGAAUGAAAGAGUCGCUUUACAUUACCCAACUAGUUUUAAUGACCCCUUUUAAAAACAAAAAACAAACAUUCCUUUUAACAGUUUCAGUUUUGGGCCAAAUCGACCUG